rnacentral:lncRNA from 1 species
ACAAUACUAUCUUGAGGAUUUACUAAUGCAUAAUUUUUCUUGUUCAUGUAGGGCAACUAAGCAUUUUGGAUUCAUUUUCGAGCAUGUGAGUUGGAAAAACAGGCAAAAUGGUGAAGAUAAGGGAGACAGGGAAGUGGCUGAGGGAGAAGACAUGUGUGACAUAUACGCCAGCCUUUGCACCAAAACUUGAACCUAAUCACUACACAAGAUUCUAGUGCAAGAUGCUGGAGGAUGAGCUUCCUUGAAUAGGUAAGAAACUGUGUGUUUAUGAGAAAAUGGCAUAAAAGAGUCUAGGACUAAAAGUGGAAUCAGCUCACUGAACAGCUGUGGUGGAGAGAGAUGCAACACAAUGCAGAUGACAUGAAGAGUGUGCAAGGCUUAUCGUACAGCUGAGAGAUGAGUGCUGCAGUGGGCAGGAAGGGGAGCUCAUGGGAGUACAAUAAACUGAAGGGAACAGCUAUGUUUGGUAACUGGUAAACACUCGGGUGUGCCUGCAAUCCACUUAGAAACCAUUGGAGAAAUAAAAACUCUGAAAUUAGGGCAAGUUGACGAAGAACAACUUUGAUUGUGCUUGCCGGAGGAAUUUCUAAUUUGUACUUUAAAUGGUGGGAAAAUGUUGGAUACUCUGAGGAAGUCUUAGGGGACAUAUAUGGGCAUUUUUUUUUUAUUUUAUGAAAAGACACUAGCAAAUGGCAAAUAAGGGCAUUAGGAAUUGUAUGUACUAAAGUGAAAAAUAAGAAUAAAGUAAAGCGGCAGAGAGGAA